GACGAACGCUGGCGGCGUGCCUAAUACAUGCAAGUAGAACGCACAGUUUAUACCGUAGCUUGCUACACCAUAGACUGUGAGUUGCGAACGGGUGAGUAACGCGUAGGUAACCUGCCUGGUAGCGGGGGAUAACUAUUGGAAACGAUAGCUAAUACCGCAUAAUAUUGAUUAUUGCAUGAUAAUUGAUUGAAAGAUGCUAUUGCAUCACUACCAGAUGGACCUGCGUUGUAUUAGCUAGUAGGUGAGGUAACGGCUCACCUAGGCGACGAUACAUAGCCAACCUGAGAGGGUGAUCGGCCACACUGGGACUGAGACACGGCCCAGACUCCUACGGGAGGCAGCAGUAGGGAAUCUUCGGCAAUGGACGAAAGUCUGACCGAGCAACGCCGCGUGAGUGAAGAAGGUUUUCGGAUCGUAAAGCUCUGUUGUAAGAGAAGAACGGGUGUGAGAGUGGAAAGUUCACACUGUGACGGUAUCUGACCAGAAAGGGACGGCUAACUACGUG
rnacentral:rRNA from 1 species